GGAUCCCUUAAGGCAGGAGCCUCUUCUGCUUCUCCACUGCUAAGCUCUGGAAUAAGUAACCUCCCUUUCUCUUUCCUGCAUGAUGUCUGCUGCCUUCAAUGCCUUGCUGUGUUGCUGGGGAUCUGCUCUGUUUAGACUUGGCUGCCAGUGGCACCAUUUUGGCGUUUAACACAUUUGUAUAUGUGGCACCAUUGGGGCUUUGGCACCAUUUGGACUUAGCUGCCUGUGGAGCUGUUUGGAACUGAGGUAAGGCAUUCAGGAUUUUACCUAGCCCCUUAACCAGGGUUUUGUUCAGAAGUGCACCAUUUGUUUGUAAGUGUGAGUGUUUGACCUUUGUGUGUGGAUCCUGAUUUCAUCCUUUCCUUUUCACUUCCAACUUCAUCUUCCUGAUUUAUCUUGCAAAGCCACCUACAUUGUUACUUCUCUCAGGCAAAUGUAUCUUUAGCUCCCUCCAGCUGGAAACAGUUCACUUCAACCAGUGACUUGUGGAGUGGGGAGGGAUUCAUCCUACAUUGUGCAGGUCUAGGGUACUUGGGCUCUCCCUGACAGGAGGUAAAUGAGAGUGGUGGGGGUACCAAACCCACACCAUGCAGGGGCUGGAAGGGUCACAAACCUCCUUCUCUUUCCUUCUCUUUCUCUUUCUCUCCUUUAAAACCCAGCUCCUUCACAGAAGCCUGCCAGGAACUUCAUAUUUUAAUUCUCUUUGGAAUUACAGCUGGUUACAUAUUAUGACGUAUUUUUGUGCACAUUUUUAAAUGAUGAGAAAAUUACAGCAAGAAAAAUUCAGAGCUCGAGUGGUAACCUGCAACUAGAAAGUUAAGCAGAGUGUUUUAAAGCUCUCCAUCUUCCUCUAAUUUCUAUUCUGCCUGCUUGAAAUCUAUUACUAACCUUCGGGUGCUGAGAUGAGACUCGUUAUUUGUGGUCCAACUAGAAUAUAAACAUUGGAAACUCAUCUGAAACUGAAAAAAAAAGAUAGAAGAGGUUAUAUAUAUAUAUAUAUAUUUUUUUUCAAACUGCCACAGAGACUGCUUUACCCAAAUUUUGGUUCACAGCUUUCAUUGGAUUAUAUAUUGGGGGCAAUCAAAAUUUAGCCAUAUAAACAGCUUCCAAUGUAAUCAAAGAAUAAUGUGGAUCCAGCUAUCUUUCAUAAAGUUGUGAGUUUGUAUUGUUAUCUGAUGGCUAGAAUUCUGAGGUAAAAGCUAUUGGGACCUUUGUUUGUGUGCGUAUACAUGUUUAGAUCUGUUCAUGUGUAUGUACAUGUAUUAUAUAUUGUAUCUAGCAUGCUACCAAAAGGAUUAUAAGUAAAUGAGUACAAUCUGCCAAGAUGGGCAGAUUACUUGAGGCCAGGAGUUCAAGACCAGCCUAGCCAACAUGACAAACACCCACCUCUACAAAAAAUGCUUUUUAAGUUCACAUGAAUUUAGUAAUCUUUGAUAAAUAAAACUGAUCUUAAGAUUAUUGGUGAAAUAAAAAUAGAAAUACCUUCAGAAUUGUCAGCACACAUUUUUGUCUGAGUUUAUUGACCAAAUGGUUUAUAUUUGUCACUGUCUAUAAAUAAAAGUAUUAGGCUUUAACAUAAAUGUCAUAAGCCUAUAAACCCACCAAAAAAAUAUUUGUGUGAUUUUUUUAAAUAAAUAAGACUAAUAUAAUAUUGUUAGUUUAAUAAAAAAUUAAAUCUUCUAAAUUAUCAACAAAAUGCCCAUAUGUUUAACUUUAAGGUUCUUACUUAAAUAAACACCUAAUGUGUACAGACUUUAAAAAUGGUUAACAGGGAACUAACUCUAAAUAAUGAUUACCUUUGUGUAAUAUCUCAGUUUUCAUAAGUAAUCUAGAUAAACUGUCAAAAGUUUAAAAUUUGAACAUGUAAAUAAAAUAAAUGCUUGCAGGCCAGGUGCAGUGGCUCACACCUGUAAUCCCAGCACUUUGGGAGGCCAAGGUAGGCUGAUCACUUGAGGCCAGGUGUUUGAGACCAGCCUGACCAACAUGGUGAAACCCCAUCUCUACUAAAAAUACAAAAAAAAAUUAGCCAGGCAUGGUGGUGCAUGCCUGUAGUCCUAGCUACUUGGGAGGCUGAGGCAGGAGAAUCACUGGAACCUGGAAGAUGGAGGUUGCAGUGAGCUGAGAUCACUCCACUUCACUCCAGCCUGGGUGACAGAGUAAGACUCCAUCUC